rnacentral:ncRNA from 1 species
AAAGUUGCUACUGUUUAACAACUCUGGUUGGGUCUUACUUGGGUAGGUGCUUAGACCAACCGUUGACUGUUGAUGCCCCCUUAAUGUUCUUAACUGAGACUCAAAGCAUUUACUUUGGAAAAAUUAGAGUGUUUGAUGCAGGAUCAAGCUGCUGCAUUCGGCAGAUACACUAAUAGAAUAGGACUUCUGGUUCUGCUUUGUUGGCUUUUGGAACUGAAGUCAUGAUUAAAAAGGAUGGUCCUGGGUAUCGGAAUUAAGUUGCUAGAGGUGAAAUUCGUGGACCUUUGCAAGACGGACCAGAGUGGAAGCAUUUGCCAAGAAUAUUUUUAUUACAGGCGGAGGAAGCUUGAAAAUAAUCAGCUACCAUCACAGUUCCAACCAUAAAGAAUGCUGACCUACCUUGGGGAGGCUUUUCUGCCAAACAGCUUCCAGGAAACCAGUCUUUAGGUUCUA